GCGUCGACGGSKARCCGGCCUGAGAGGGUGACCGGCCACACUGGGACUGAGACACGGCCCAGACUCCUACGGGAGGSAGCAGUGGGGAAUAUUGCACAAUGGGCGGAAGCCUGAUGCAGCAACGCCGCGUGAGGGAUGACGGCCUUCGGGUUGUAAACCUCUUUUAGCAGGGAAGAAGCGAGAGUGACGGUACCUGCAGAAAAAGCGCCGGCUAACUACGUGCCAGCAGCCGCGGUAAUACGUAGGGCGCAAGCGUUAUCCGGAAUUAUUGGGCGUAAAGAGCUCGUAGGCGGUUUGUCGCGUCUGCUGUGAAAUCCCGAGGCUCAACCUCGGGCCUGCAGUGGGUACGGGCAGACUAGAGUGCGGUAGGGGAGAUUGGAAUUCCUGGUGUAGCGGUGGAAUGCGCAGAUAUCAGGAGGAACACCGAUGGCGAAGGCAGAUCUCUGGGCCGUAACUGACGCUGAGGAGCGAAAGGGUGGGGAGCAAACAGGCUUARAUACCCUGGUAGUCCACCCCGUAAACGUUGGGAACUAGUUGUGGGGACCAUUCCACGGUUUCCGUGACGCAGCUAACGCAUUAAGUUCCCCGCCUGGGGAGUACGG
rnacentral:rRNA from 1 species